AAAAAAAAAAAAAAAAAAAAAAAAAAAAAACCACCACAGAGAUAUGAUUUCUGUCCACAAACAUGUAAUCUGAUAGAAGUUCCCAUGCUUGUUUUUGUAGGUGAGUGUUUGUAGUAGCAGGUCUGAAUUUUAGUGAUGGGAAGCCCAUGCUGAAGCAAUGGGAUGUAAGCUCGUCCCCAUGUCAACAGUCUUUAUUCUCACAACUGUGCCAAAGCUGUGUUCCAGGAUGCUCCUGAGGAAAGGGCUGAUUCUCUUUCCGAUCGUCAUUUGGAACGCUGCCACUGACUGCAGAUGAAGCCGCUUACCAGGCUGACAUGCAUCGCUUGUUGUCUCUGGGUCAAAGCUUGGGCAAGGCCUGCAGCAGACCCUGCCUGCUUUGUUUAGCAGCGUGUCCACAUUCCACAGCCCAAACCAGGCCACUCCACCCCAAGCCAUGUGCACACCUCUGCUGAGCAAAGUACAUCGUAUAUUGGGAAGAGCAUCAACCCACAAGCAGGAGUUUGUGAUGAGAGAUUCCACCCAACUGUUGCUUUAUAAUUCACAGGCAAAUCUGAAGUUUGGGAAUAGAAUUGUGGCCUGCUCGGCUCCUGGGAGGAUUUUAGGAAAGCUUUCCCUUCCAGGUACAGCUAAUGCUUCCUCUCUUCAGAGGGCUGCUACCAAUGGGUGCUGUUCUCAGCUGGGAAAGCACAACGCGUGACACAUCCUCCCAGCAAAGGCCAGAGCCUCCCAGCAGAAAUGCUUUUUCUCCUCUCCAUUCCUGGGAGGCAGGAGGCAUUAAUCUCUUCCAGAACGUGCAUUUAGUUGUUGUUUCCCAGAAGCAGAUCAGAUUUACUUUUUUUAAUGCGAUCUGCAUUCUGAAUCACUCUGAGAGUAAGUGGUUCUGGCUACCUCCAUGUUGAAACAUAAGAGCUAACAAAAUGUAGUAAAGAACCAAAGCAGGGUAUUAAAUAUACAGAUGCUUAAUUAGGAGCAUUAAAUAGAGUUAUAUUUUUAAUAUUGAGCUAGUUUAAAUAUUGAAUAUUGAUGCACUUGAGAACAGAUGUGCCUAGAUAAUUAUUGUAAAUAGAACUAGUAAGAAAAAUACCUUUUAUAUGGCAUGGCAUGGAGAUUAUCUUAUGAAUUUCACAAAUGAACAAAUAGGAAAGCCAGAAAACCAGAGAUCAGAAAGUAAUCUACAUAUUUCUAAGAAUUUUCUUAGGUUUUUCCUAUUUUUCCAAACAGAAGUUCUGGAUUCCUUUAUGAAUUUAAUUGUUACAGUUGAAGAAUAGUGAGGGCAAUCAGAUCAGGUCUAUCUUUCAGAGAAAUAUUGAUGAUUUAUUUGAACACAGUUCCUGUUUCACCCUUCCUGUUACUACAAACAUAUUCCCUGAAUAACGAUGAGCACUGUAAUGCUGUAUAUUUAAUCCAUCUCCAAGUCAGUAAAUAAAAUGUCCUCAAAUUACAAAGAGGAUAAUUCAAUUCUCUAAAGAACACUGGUAUUUGAACAAAGUCACAAAGUAGACUUGGAAAUGCAGACCUAUUUCUCCUGCUUACUCAACCACCAGCUUACAGAGCUGCAGUAGGAUGCACAGUCUGAUGUGUUCCAGAAAAGUUAAAGUUGCAUUUUUCCUCUGCUGUUGAAACAGGCUCUAUCCUUGUGCAACUGUUAGUACUGGCAAAUGCCAAAAAGAGCUUCUCAACAUUAAAUGUGACAAUCAUGAAGUUCAAAAGCUUUGAAUCAGAAUCUGCAUAUAGAUUGAUAAUAGGAAUAAUAGCUAUUCCUAUUAGAUAAUAGCUAUAAAAUAGUGAGUUUUCUUCUGUUUGCACAAUACUCAGAAUAUAUUUACUAAGCAGAUAAUUACACUUUUCUAAACAGGUCCAUUUUCCCACUUGCUACAAAGCCAUGUCCAAAUAUAAUCUGUGCUGUCAUAAACCAUCCAUUUCCUAGUGUCAGCCUAGAAAACAUUACCAAUGAAGAAACAAGAUUCAGCUCAAAUUCCAUCCCUGUACUUUAUAUUCCUUUAGGAUUCUUCCUCCAAUAUUUCUCAGCCCAUACAUAAUUUUUCCUUCAAAAAGCAACCCCUAUUUCUUUAUAAACCAUCUGCUCAGCAUGUUAGCAAAAUCCAUGCAACAGCUUCCCAGCAGGACCAACACCUGCUAACAGGGGAUGGUGUUUCAGGCAGAUAUUGCCAGCCUGUCACAGCUUCUUAUCCCCUCUCUCUCUAAUCUUCAGAGUUCUGCCUGGGAUUAUCUCCUGCAAAUCAAAUGCCCAGCAAGAUGGCCUGUUACUUUUUUAUGUAUCAGCAAACAUGCAUUUGAUUGAGUUCAUUAGUGCUGUAAACAUCUUUUAUUAUACAGAUCAAUGUGAAUUUACAAGCUGGAGCAAUAUGAUAUUGACAUAAUGUAGCAUUUCAUAUACAAUAACUUUUUAUAGUCCUCAUCACUCCAAACAUGCUCUGGGUGAAAUUCAGUACUGAUGUAAGCAGAUACCAUAACACCAAGGCUAUCCACAGACUACAGGCAAUUAUCCUCAAGCUUAAUGAGGUUCCUUUGGUUCAGGCAUGAUUUUGAACAGCUUUAAGAUAGGAACACUUCUAUUUUAAACCACAUAAAAUAUCAUUUCGGAGCAUCUGUAUCUGUUUAGUAAUCAAAGCUUGGAGGUUCUUCUUCAAAUAUCUUCAAGUUUCCAUCUGCUGUCUGCCUCUGUUUAAGAAAGGAAGUCCCAGAAUUUCAGCAGUUUGGAGAAACAUUUCCUUUUGUGGAGCAGCCAUGAAAAAAUUAUUCUGCUGUAUGAAGGCUGUAAGAUCAAAUGAGGCAUAAGUUAAAAGAAAGUGGAAACUUGCAUCUGUUGUCAAGUGUAACUAUGGUCAUCCAGGAAAUAAACCCAGUUUUUGUAAGUACUCACAAACUGGGGCAAGUUCAUACAAUGUUACUAAAUACUUACACUAUUGCUGGCAUGCAGGCCCAAGCAGAAAGAGGGAUGUGAGCUGCCCCUCCUCUGCAGCUGGACAUGGUCAUGAAAUCAUUAUUUUAAACAAUAUGGUCAAAUAUAAAAAAAGUAGGUAUGAGACUUCCACCCCAGGAGAGUUGUGCUUUUUCCCUGUGCAUGUCCUUUCACGGUGUAAAGGUUCUCAGUAUCUGUUCAAUCCAUACCUUAUCAGGUGUAAGUGGAAAUUAAUCCGUACAGGUUUGUUGAAAUAAGUCUGAAGUGAUUGGCUCAUUACUUUGAUGGGACAACUAUUGGGUGUUAUAUUACUGUCACCAUAACCAUUUUUAAGAUAGAUAAUUGGUGUCUAAACUUUACAGCUUAAAGGAGCUCUACAAAAAGGCAGACCCAAAGUGGACAAACCCAAGCAAGAAUCAUACCCUAAGGCACUAUCGCAGGGACAAGGCAGAUCCAAAGUCAGUCAAUAGACAAGGAUGAGCUCCAGCAGUUACCAGACAGGUGCAUAACAAAACCAGGAGUGAAUCCAAGCUGAGGAGCUGCCUGAGCCACAGCCAGGUUGUGGCUGUACAGGUGAUCAGCACUCCUCCAGUGUAACUGCAGCAAGAACUGGGAACUCAGAGCUGAUGGUAAAUAGAGCUCCUGAGCCCAUGGCUGUGGGGAGGUCUCAGCUGAGGCUUCCCAGCUCCUUUAACACAUGUAAGUGCUCUCAGUGCCCUGACAAGAUUUAGAGGAACCUGUAAUUUAAUUUAUUUAUUUUAUUUAAUUUGAAAUUCUGUAGUAGAGAUUGUAGGACUUUUGUGUUUGUGUUAUCUUUCACAAGGAACUUUUGUACAAUAUAUCUCAUAUUAACCAAUAUUUAUCUGGAUAGGCAUAUGAAAUUUAAUUCAGAGUGUAGAAGGAACUUCCCUGUUCAGCAGUAGAGUUUUGUUUGCCCUUUCAAUCAAAUAUUGCUUGCUAUUUACAACAGGAAUUUCUGGUUCUAGAAAAGGUAAACAAAACAGGGGUUAACUUGCAGGACAACUAAGGAUACCCAUACACAGGUAACAUUUUCUACAGACUGAAUAAUAUCUAUUUGCACUUGUUCUGUGACAUUUAGAGACUGUAAAAUUGUCUGUAUUAUGUAGCACUCACCAACAGGAACUAUUAACAAAGAUUGUAAAAUAAACUGAAAUGUGCGGAGUGACCACUUGUGGAAGCACCCUAUGAACUGAUCUCACCGAAAAAAUGCAAAUUUCCAUGUGCAAAAUAACUCACAUCUCCAAACCUGUUUUAUCCCUCCUUAAGAUAAUGAGGAGGAUGCAAAUGUAGAACAGAUAGCCUGAUAUUAGCCUUCAUCUUUAAAGCACAGUGCUCCCAUUAAAAAUAAGAAUUUUGCUACCAAUGAUCCAGAGCAGACAGUGGCAGAUUAUGGAUUUGCUACAAUCCAAGUCCCAUCCUACUCCUAUGUCAGACUAAAAGUCUGCUGCAAUAGAGUGAGUAGAAGAGAAAGAAAUGUCACAUUUUAUAAAAAGUGCAGUGGACCCAGCAGCUCCAUGAAGAUUUGAUAAGAUUUUACCAUUCAAAGAUCCAGCCACAGUAACAGAGGACUAAAAUUGUCAUUCAAUUUAAUUAUUCUGCAUUUUACCCUGUUUUGAUUAAGUUAUGUUUUCUGAUUACUUCAUUGUUAUUUUAAAGACUAUGUAGGACUUAAGAUUGUGUGAAUUUGGAUUACAUACACAAAAAUUGCUUUAUAUUCUUUUUCCUCUCUCAAAAAUGAAGGCAAGAAUGACGUUCACUGGAUUCAACCAAAAAUUCUAAUAACUUAAUAUUCAUUUUUGAGAUCCAGUUAGCCUAAGAGAGCUACUGUUUAAGAGUUUUUUCAUCAUUUAAUCACAAACUCAGAGAUUUUAUAUAUGAAAUGUUAUAAGUUUUUUAUAGCUAAAGUUUAGGAGGAGUGCUUAUAUCGAGUACAAGUUAUAGAGCUAUCAUGUUAACACAAACUAAAUGGAGAUUUUCACCUUAAACAUUAGAGAUAUAAAAUGGAGUUCAAAGUUAAUUAGUUUUUAAUCUAUAACCAAGUUCACCUAUCUAUGUAUCUCCCAUGGAUAGCAAUUAUUUUAUAGACAGCAGGAGGGAUAUAUAGGAAUAAUACAAUAUUUUAAAGCUGGAAAAGAAGUAAUGUAGUAACUAUAUAUUACUACUUUUAAAAAUAACAUACAGCAGUAAUAAUAAUAAUAAUAAUUUUCUGAAGGAACUUGUUGUAUUGAAACAUUGCCAGGAGAGGAGACAUUUUAAAACAUUAGCUGGGAAAAAAAAAAGAGUUCUGAACUAUCAGGGACACAGAACUGCCAGAUUGUUUUCUUGUUUUGGGUGUUUCUUUGGAUUUUUUAAAAUAAAUUCUUCAGAAAUCUGUGUAAGAUAGAACCUGCUGUUUCAUAUCAGUAAGAAAAAGCUUUGAAAUAUUUACCAGCUAAAAAAUAAUUUUAUCCCUGUAUUUAUCAUAUUUAAUGGCAAUACAUAAUGCAAAUGGUAACUUUUUCACCAUCAUUUGAAUUUCACUAGUACUUUUAAUUGCAUUCUAAUAGGUUUUUCACCUUUCUAAAGCUAUCACCUCAAAUUGAAAAAAAUCAUGUUAUCAAAAAAAAAUCAUAGCAAAAAAGGUAAGUGGAGUUGUCACUUUUGUGUAGUCAAAAUAUUCUUUCUCAUAUUCUUCUUUCAUUACAUAUAAAUAUUUCAUCAGUAUAUAUCUACGUCACAACAGAAAGCAAUAUAGAAAACAAGAAAAAAAUCUUGCUGCCAGAAAACAUGUUUAUUUUUUCCAUAUAUCACAAAUUAAAGCAGACUAUAAGAGCAUGAAACAUUCAAAAAGAAAUGUGCAAAACACGUCUGUGAAAAAAAUCUAUGUCUGCUCCUAUAGGUAAGGCAACACUGGAUCUGUAUGUCCCCAAAUGACCUCGUUUUUCCUCAAGGUCCCCAGUGUUUUGAAGACCACACGUUGUUCCACUGGUGUUUACAGGGGUUGUCCAGGCAACCAGAUAAAACAGAGAUUUAAAGGGGCCUGCCCUGCCUGUGCUGUGGACUCCAAACUCACAUCAAGGAAAGGAGCCCAGCCUGGGGCAGGAGAAUCCUCCAAAUUUUAGCAAAUCCUUUCCUACAACUGCUUGUUGUAGCAAAGAAACUAAAGAAUACUAGAAUUAUACUCUACAUAGAUAUGCCCAGCCUUUCUCUUCCCUCCUUCCUUGAAAUCCCAGCUGCCAUGGAAAUCCUGCUCUCCAACACCACCGAAACUUUCAGAAGCCUUUUACUUCUGACUGUAUAACCCUAAAAUUUGUGGAUGAAAAAGCACUCUAAAAAUGAGAUUUAGCUUUCUGGCAUGUAAGUGUGAGGAAAAAGCACUGAAGGCACCUGACUGAAGAACACCUACUGAACACUCUAAGCCUGGAAUGACCACUCAUUCAUGGCACUAGCAAUAAAAAAAAAAAAAAAUUAAAAAAAAAAGACACUGAGAAGCAAUUGAAGCAUUUAAAGGCUCAAACUCUGGAAAUACCAGAAACUACUGGAAAAGAAGGCAAGAACACUUCAGUGUACAUCUGGAAGCAGUAAGUGUUAUUUAAAAGCAAGUCUAUCAGAAGGAGGUUUUCCUUCUGAAAAUAGCAAGUGCUGAUGCAUUUGGCAUACUUAACACUUCUCAGCAAUCCAAGAAAAGGAGGAUAUUCAUGAAGCUGUUACAAAAAAAUGAGGAGUAUUGCAUUCUAAAUAAAAGUGAAGCUUAUUAAAGUAAAAUGCUUUGAUCCUGAAUGUUUAAAAGUGUCUUUUACUGUAUAAGACUGGGGUGACAAUUUUAUCUGCUAGAGGUGUACGAUAAGCGUGGCAUUACCCUGCCAUAGGGUAAAAUCCAUUGAAGAUUUGUAGAUGAAAAAAAAGUUUAAAUCCUUCCAACUUUAAAAAGUCACUGGUUUUCAACAGAAAGUGGAGCAAAUAAUACAGAAAUAGACUCCUGGGAGAAGCAGACUCCAGAUGAGGCAAUUUAGAAUCUGCCAAGAAACUAGUACUUGAAUAAGUGUUGGACAGGACAGUGCUUUGGAACCUUAGACAUUACCAAGAGCAGAAAAUACCAUAACACAAAGAUAUCAGAGGCAGAAAAACACCCAGAGCUGGAAUUCCUGAGCAAGGAAUAACAACACAAAUGAAGCAGAUGAAAGACGCUGAACAUUAAGAAAAAGCUUGUAUUAAUUUGUCUUCAGGUGCCAGGGGUCUGAACCAUGAAGAAACUGCAUGUUGCUGCCUUGGAUGAUUGUUUUCUUUAGAAUAAAAACACUUGUAGCAAAAGAUGAUGUGUGCAGAAGAAAUAAUAAACAGAAGAGCAAGUGGGACAUAUUACCUUCAGUUAGGCAUAUAUGCACAGCUCCUAGUAUUUCUAGGAACUGUGCUGUAACUGAGAUAAAAACAGCAGGUUGUAGAAAGAUAGAGGGGUAAAAAUACAGGUUUAUGAAAAUGAUUUUUUUUGUCUGUUUAAAAAAUGUUCUUCUAGAAAUAAAAAAUAAAACCAUCUUAGACUGUUUUCCUAUUUUUAGAUGGCAUUACUAAAGAUAUUACAACAGAAGAGCUGAUUAUGCAUUAAGAACCUUUUUAGCUAGACUUCUUUAACCAAUACAGUGAUAUGUGACAGAGGGACGCGAUUUACAGGACAUACAUUUGAGCAGGACACAGUGAAGCCUAGAUUUAGAUGUGAGACUACUAGUUCCUCAUCAUUCCUCACUUACUGGGUGCAGAGUAUGGAGGAAAGCUUGCUAAAAUCUUUGAAUUUUCCCAGCUAGAAUUAAAAUGACCUUCAGAUAACCUAGCAUAUUUCACUUCCAAAGUGAGUUAGGCUAAACUGAAUUAAGGUCAUUUUUAAUUCUGAAGAAAAAUAGAUACUAGGGCAUUUAAUAUAGCUUAGUCUAGUUUAAAUGAACAGUUGUAAUUAACUUGGAGAUCUCUGUAGAAAAGACCCAAAAAGGUAAAUUAAAAACACCACUAUUUUUGUUUUUUGUUUUCAAUCUUAAUUCUGUAGAAGGUGAUUCAGAGUCUUAAUAUACAGUAAAACAAACAGUAUAUAGUAUUGAUCACUUCUCAAUUAUGGUAAACAUGCAAGUGAUUAAGUCAACUACCCUGAAAGUGGGUUACUAUAACAUUUUUUAAACACCUAUGUAUUUUUUAAUAGCUUUGACUACAAAAGUAAUAUUUCUAUCCAAAUCUGUGGGAGUAAACUAGAAUCAAAUGUCAGACAAGUGUACCAUCAACCCUGACUUCUGUUUUACUGCUUCUGUAGUUCACAUGCAGCAACACAAAUAUGUUCCUAAACUACUAAAAAUACAAGAAAAAAAAGUGAACUUUUUUUGUUUGCUUUCCUCUACUCAAUAUGCACAAAAUCAACUUUUCAGAAGUGCAGCAAAUAAAUAAAAUAUAAAAUAUAUUGCAUGGAAUUUUUUCAAAUGAGCUGAUGGCAGCCAGAUCACCCACAAAACAAUCACAAAGCCAGUUUCAGAGACAAGUCAGUAUGAAUUUUCCAUGACAGUAAUUAGCAAUUUCUUCUGAAUCACAAGUUUACAGGUGUAUCUUCUACGAAUAUGGAAUAAUCCACAGAACAAUUAUAAGCAACUGAAAAAAGUGCUGCUUGGCUGAUAGCAAGAGACUACACCCACUCUGCCAAAUGAUCACAGGAGAUAAAGGCCAAGAACUGAGCAGCUGGACUUGCCCAUUAAGGCAGCCUGUAGCUUAUCUCUGAAAAAAACCUGUCUGUUGUGCAGGACAUUGACCUCAACACAGCACCUGUCACCUCCUGUGAAUUAAUGUGUGGCCACUAUCCACAGAAUAUUUGAUCAAAUGUGCUCUUGUAGGGGGCAAUACUGACAGCAAAAGCAUGGAACCUGUUUUGUUAAACUAGGUCUAAAACUUCAGGAAAAAACCCACCUUACACCUUUUUAACUUGGCUCUUGACAGGCUUGUGGUGAACUGCAGUUAAAAUUCAAUAAGGGGAUACAUAAACUCUGCUUCUAUAUUUACAUCGGGGGUUUUCAACCAGUGGCUAUAUUGGGAAAUAUUUGGGAAACAUCAAAUGCCAAGAAAGAAAGGGUGGCAGUGGUGAAGUGUUGGCUGCUGGGGUAAACUUCCUUUGGAACUUUGUACCUUCAGCGUACUCACACUGAAGGAAACCCAAGUGGGCCUUAGUUAAAACUCCCUCCAAACUAAAAUGUCCAAAAUUGUAACAUCCAUGGUGUGCCAAACAAUUUCCAGAGGCUCCAGAUUCCUUUUGGAUUCACAAUUGAAGGGUAUCAAAGAACAUUUUUCAGGAGAUCUGGCAGAACAAAUUCUUUGUCAAGUUGCUUUAGUUUCAUAGUGGAUUUGGGGGCUGGCAAUCUCAGCUAUUGUAGAAACAUGAUGUAAGUCCUUUCACUUCUCUCUGAGUGGGUGGGUCCUCAACUGGAAUGAAUUUGGCAUCAGUGGAUUAAGCCUUCCCUGCAGAAGAAUGUAGUUUAUUGCUGUCUGUAUAGCUAGUACAGGGAGCAGGGGAAAUUGCUGUACUCCUGCUUUCAUCCUUUCCCUUAGUACAUCUACAUGACAUAAUUGAUAUAUUCUUGGCAGGUCUGAAAUUAUGCUGCAGUGAUGAAUAUUCCUGUUUCUGGGUCAGAAGCUGUAAAAUUUGGAAAAUAUCUUCCAUAUUCACAAAGAAAUACAUAUGCUUCUUGGCACGUUAGCAACCUGCUAGAAAAGCAUCCCACACUGGCAGAACAGGGGUUAGCUGAGAGCAGGAAAUGUGCCAGUAGCCUGGAACAACCCAAAAGGAAAAUAAGGAGUUAAAUGCCAAAUAUAUCAUUCUGUUUAGGAGAGAGAAGGAGGCUGCCAGGGGUAUUCAAAGAUGCAGGAAUGUGGGAUUUUGGGAAGAGCAGUCUAAUUUGGUAUUCAAACCCUGCAGUUGACAGGCACUGCUGCAAUGGUAAGGCAGGCUGGCCACAGAAAGAGAAUCCUAACUAAGGCAGGUGCAUAUUCCUAACCCAAGCAGAGCCUACAGCC